rnacentral:rRNA from 1 species
UACGUAGGGCGCAAGCGUUGUCCGGAAUUAUUGGGCGUAAAGAGCUCGUAGGCGGCUUGUCACGUCGGGUGUGAAAGCCCGGGGCUUAACCCCGGGUCUGCAUUCGAUACGGGCAGGCUAGAGUGUGGUAGGGGAGAUCGGAAUUCCUGGUGUAGCGGUGAAAUGCGCAGAUAUCGGGAGGAACACCAGUGGCGAAGGCGGUUGCCUGGGGCUUUGCUGACGCUGAUGCGCGAAAGCGUGGGGAGCGAGUCCGG